AGGGUAUUAGCUCAGUGGUAGAGCACAUGCUUAGUUGGCACGAGGUCCUGGGUUCAAUUCCCAGUCCCUC
rnacentral:tRNA from 1 species